rnacentral:rRNA from 1 species
GACUGACACUCCUACGGGAGGCAGCAUGGGGGAAUAUUGCACAAUGGGCGAAAGCCUGAUGCAGCCAUGCCGCGUGUGUGAAGAAGGCCUUCGGGUUGUAAAGCACUUUCAGCGAGGAGGAAAGGUUGACGGUUAAUACCCGUCAGCUGUGACGUUACUCGCAGAAGAAGCACCGGCUAACUCCGUGCCAGCAGCCGCGGUAAUACGGAGGGUGCGAGCGUUAAUCGGAAUUACUGGGCGUAAAGCGCAUGCAGGCGGCCAAGUCAGUCAGAUGUGAAAGCCCCCGGCUUAACCUGGGAAUUGCAUUUGAAACUGCUUGGCUAGAGUCCUUGAGGAGGGGGGUAGAAUUUCAGGUGUAGCGGUGAAAUGCGUAGAGAUCUGAAGGAAUACCAGUGGCGAAGGCCGGCCCCCCUGGCAAGAGACUGACGCUCAGAUGCGAAAAGCGUGGGGACGCAAACAGGAUUAGACUACCCUGGUAG